rnacentral:misc_RNA from 1 species
GAUGAAGAACGUAGCGAAAUGCGAUAAGUAGUGUGAAUUGCAGAAUUCAGUGAAUCAUCGAAUCUUUGAACGCACAUUGCGCCCCUUGGUAUUCCAUGGGGCAUGCCUGUUCGAGCGUCAUUUGUACUUUCAAGCUUUGCUUGGUGUUGGGUGUUUGUCCCGAGGGACUCGCCUUAAAGUAAUUGGCAGCCAGUGUUUGGUUUUGAAGCGCAGCACAAGUCGCGAUUCAAGGCUACACGCCCGCUUCCACAAGCCUUUUUUCACUUUUGACCUCGGAUCAGGUAGGGAUACCCGCUGAACUUAAGCAUAUCAAUAAGCGGAGGA